CAAUAAUUUAAAAAUUGAAAUGUCAAUGUCACAUACCUUGAAAUAUGUAAAAUUUGACAAAUAAUACGAAAAAUGUCUUGAACAACACCAAAAGAUAUUUCUUGUAUUUUGAAAAUAUAUAUAGAAUGGGCUUUUUCUUUUCUAUCGUUAAAACCUCUAUAAUAUUUGGUGCAGGAGUUUACACCGGUGUCUAUGUAGCACAAAAUUAUCAGGAUGCAGUCCAAGUAAUUUGUCAGAAAUCUGUACAGAACUGUGACAAGGCUAUGGAAAAAAAGAAAUGAUAGAAAAAGUAGAAGAUCCUAAAGCACUGUUUGAAAAGGCACAAGCUUUCGUGAAAUCAAAACUUUCUGAAGUACAAGAUGGAAAAAAAGAUUAAAAUUAGGAAAAUGGGAACAGGAAUUAUGAAAUAAAAUUGUUAUUAAUUGUUUGUACAUAUUUAUUAUUAGUUUUACAAUAAUAGUAUAAUAAAUACAAUUCAAACUGUGAA